ACGCGAGUGAAAUUUGGUGCCGUGACUCGGAUUGGGGGACCACCCUUGGGAGAUCAAUCCCCUGUCCUCCUGCUCUUUGCUCCAUGAGAAAGAUCCACCUACGACCUCGGAUCCUCAGACCAACCAGCCCAAGGGACAUCUCACCAAUUUUAAAUCCGGUUUGCUUUCUGUGAUUUCAGUUACCCACCCUCAACCACAGUCUAAAAGUAGGUUGGAGUGCCAUGGGGAUUGUAGCUCGCUGCAACCUCCACCUCCUGGGUUCAAGCGAUUCUCCUGCCUCAGCCUCCUGAGUAUCUGGGAAUACAGGCAUGUACCACCAGACCCAGCUAAUUUUUGUAUUUUUGGUAGAGAUGGGGUUUCACUGUAUUGACCAGUCUGGUCUUGAAUUUCUGACCUCAAGUGAUCUGCCUGCCUCAGCCUCCCAAAGUGCUGGGAUUGCAGGCAUGAGCCACCUUGCCCAGCCUAGUCUUCAGACAAUGUCUAAAGGGAAUCACCAUGCAGACUCCGGGACCCUCCCUCUCUGGGUAGCCCCCUCAUCUCGGGUACUCUGAACCUCAAGUACCGGCUGCCUUUGCCUCCCCAGACUCCACACUGUAUCCUCACCUUGGUGACACCCCAUCCUGCACUUGGGUCCCCCUCCCUGUCCCCUCUUCUCUUGGAGAUUACAAUCUUCGCUGCUUGUUUUCCCAUGUCUGGAAGCAGUUGUUUCACAGUCAUUGUCCAGUUUUCUGGUUGUUUAUUCCAGAAGAGCAAGUUCAGUACCCGUGCCUCCAUCAGGGCCAGAGGCAGAACUCUGCAGCCUGCGUUCCACAGGGCAGAGAACUCAAUGGAUUCUAUUCAGAGAAUCUCAGAGUGAGUCAAAGUUAGAUGACACCUUCUGGAUAUAAUCGAAACUUAACAGAAUGUGGGAAAACGGUUUUUUUUUUCUAAUGAAACAUGUGUUAGAACAUGGCCCUGGGACAGCAGAGGCUCACCACACUCCACCAGCAGAAUGAUUGGAGACGAGGAGGGGGUCUAGUUUAGGCAAAUUACUGUUAUCCAGAAUAUGGAUCAAUAAAAAGAAAAUACCCAAUAGAACAGGAGUCACUAAACUUUAUUUCUAUAAACACCCAGUAGUAAAUGUUUUAGGCUUCGCAAGACACAUCUAAUCUCUGUCACGUCUUCUUUUAUGACCCUUUGUAAAAACUAUUCUUAGCUCGCGGGCAAUAGAAAAACAGUCCACAGGCUGAAUUUGGCCAAUUGGCUAUAGGUUGCUAACCCUUACAAUGGAAUAAUAGCAUAAGCCAUUCACAGAAGAAGAAAAAGAAAAUUACUAAUGCUUGUAUGAAAAGAGACUUAGCUUCCAUAAUCAUCAGGAAAAUAUGAUUUAAAGUAAACAAGAGAACAUUUCACACUAAUCAAGUUGGUAAAAUGUUAAAAGACUUACAGUAUCAAGAGUUAGUGGAGAUAAAGAGAAACAGCCAUUCUCACACACUGCUGGUAGGAGUGUAAAUUAAUUCAGCCACUUUGGGAAGCAAUUUGUCAAUAUCCAAAGCAAAAUUGGAAUUGAAAAUGCAUAUUCACAAAGACUUGGCUAUUCCACUUCUAGAUCUAUUAUCUAAAGAGACUCAUACAUAAUUGUGGCAUUAUAAUAGGAAAAUAAAUUGGAAACAACUUAAGUACACACACACACACACACACACAUAUCAACAUGGUUACAUCUCAAAAACAUUAUGUUGAGUGCAAAACAAGCUCACUGUGUAAUAUCAUUUAUGAAAUGUUUAAAAACAUACUGCAAACAACACUAUGAAUUAUUCAUAGAUAUCUCUUUCUGUAGGUGUAAACAUGAAAACAGUGGACUGGAGAAACCCACGCCAGAUUCAGGGGGGUGAAAU